rnacentral:rRNA from 1 species
GAUGAACGCUGGCGGCGUGCCUAAUACAUGCAAGUCGAGCGAACAGACGAGGAGCUUGCUCCUCUGACGUUAGCGGCGGACGGGUGAGUAACACGUGGAUAACCUACCUAUAAGACUGGGAUAACUUCGGGAAACCGGAGCUAAUACCGGAUAAUAUAUUGAACCGCAUGGUUCAAUAGUGAAAGACGGUUUUGCUGUCACUUAUAGAUGGAUCCGCGCCGCAUUAGCUAGUUGGUAAGGUAACGGCUUACCAAGGCGACGAUGCGUAGCCGACCUGAGAGGGUGAUCGGCCACACUGGAACUGAGACACGGUCAAGACUCCUACGGGAGGCAGCAGUAGGGAAUCGUCCGCAAUGGGCGAAAGCCUGACGGAGCAACGCCGCGUGAGUGAUGAAGGUCUUCGGAUCGUAAAACUCUGUUAUUAGGGAAGAACAAAUGUGUAAGUAACUAUGCACGUCUUGACGGUACGUAAUCAGAAAGCCACGGCUAACUACGUG